rnacentral:rRNA from 1 species
AUUGAACGCUGGCGGAAUGCUUUACACAUGCAAGUCGAGCGGCAGCGCGGGGCAACCUGGCGGCGAGCGGCGAACGGGUGAGUAAUGCAUCGGAACAUGUCCAUGUCGUGGGGGAUAGCCCGGCGAAAGCCGGAUUAAUACCGCAUACGCCCGAGAGGGGAAAGUGGGGGACCGCAAGGCCUCACGCGAUUGGGUUGGCCGAUGUCCGAUUAGCUAGUUGGCGGGGUAAGAGCCCACCAAGGCGAUGAUCGGUAGCUGGUCUGAGAGGAUGAUCAGCCACACUGGGACUGAGACACGGCCCAGACUCCUACGGGAGGCAGCAGUGGGGAAUUUUGGACAAUGGGGGCAACCCUGAUCCAGCCAUUCCGCGUGAGUGAAGAAGGCCUUCGGGUUGUAAAGCUCUUUUGUCCGGAACGAAACGGUGCUCGUGAAUAUCGAGCGCUACUGACGGUACCGGAAGAAUAAGCACCGGCUAACUCUGUGCCAGCCGCCGCGGUAAGAC